rnacentral:rRNA from 1 species
UACGUAGGGUGCAAGCGUUGUCCGGAAUUAUUGGGCGUAAAGAGCUCGUAGGCGGCAUGUUAGGUGAGGUGUGAAAUCCCACGGCUCAACCGUGGAAUUGCGCUUCAUACCGGCGUGCUAGAGGAAGAUAGAGGUGGGCGGAACUGAUGGUGGAGCGGUGAAAUGCGUUGAUAUCAUCAGGAGCACCGGAGGCGAAGGCGGCCCACUGGGUCUUUUCUGACGCUGAGGGACGAAAGCUAGGGGAGCGAACGGG